UACGUAGGGCGCAAGCGUUGUCCGGAAUUAUUGGGCGUAAAGAGCUCGUAGGCGGUUUGUCGCGUCUGCCGUGAAAGUCCGGGGCUCAACUCCGGAUCUGCGGUGGGUACGGGCAGACUAGAGUGAUGUAGGGGAGACUGGAAUUCCUGGUGUAGCGGUGAAAUGCGCAGAUAUCAGGAGGAACACCGAUGGCGAAGGCGGGUCUCUGGGCCGUAACUGACGCUGAGGAGCGAAAGCGUGGGGAGCGAACAGG
rnacentral:rRNA from 1 species